CAAUCCUGCAGGACAAAAACACCAUGAGCCAUUUUAGAGCACUGCAGGCAGUUUUAAACACACACCAGACCUUGGGUUUAGAUAACAAACUGUAAGGGAGCACCACCUGCUUAAUGCAACUGUACUUGGCAAGCUUUGGUAUUUACCAGCACCAGAGCUGUCAGCAGUACCCGCCUGCACUUCCCCACUGCUUAGUCAGGAAAACUGCCUUCUGGAAGUUGGAAUCCUCCAGGAUGUAGAGUUCACAGUUACAGCUGCCACCUCAUACAUUGUCACAGCUUUGCUCACACUACACACUGUUAUCUAGGCCUUAAAGCCUUGACAGAUCAACUGCACGAUCUUGACACUGCAUUUAGUCCCUACAUGUUUGUUAAAUUAUAUUCUAGAUCUAAUCAUCAUUUUGUACACAAGACAGUCUUAAACCCACUUGUAAUUUGAUCAGAGCUAGUAAUUUGUAGACCUACUAUACACCAACUUUAUGACCAGUAUGCAUGUUACAAAAUUCAAGUAUCUCUGAUUGAAAAGAGAGAUUAUUAAAGAGCUUUUGAGUUUUCAGAUUUUUCUGGAAUACACUCACAGAAAAAUAUCAUGACCACACCAGCAGGUGAUCUAGAGGCUGUUAUUAAGUGGUCAAGAUGAUAGGAGCUCUCCAGCACCAGAGUUCAGGGAAGAACCUUGCACUUACAAGUAUGGGACCCAAGCUAACAAACAAAAACAAUUAAUCCUCCCUCACUUUUCUGUAAUUUUCUAUUAAGUAGUGAAAUUACACUUAACUACUUGCUCAGUACUCCUAUAUUAAUUUCAGUAUUCCAUGUAGGUUAUUCUAUAGCUAACUAAGACUUGGGUUUCCCAAAUGCAAUGAUUUCCCUUUCACACACAUGAAAUGGAGAGAAAGUACACUGUGUACAAGACUUGAAAAUUCACUUUCCAACAAACAGGUACAUUUUUCUCCAAAGCAAGCUUCAGUUGCUUAUUUCAUUUACAGACAGAAAAAAGUUACUAGAGAGACUUCACUUAAACACUGCCUAGGAAAGCACACUAAGCAGAUGCUAGGUAAAAACCUUUCAUAACAUCUGCAAAACUAAAAUUCUUCCCAAUUCCCAGUUAUAAGCUUCACAAUCACUAGACACCAAGCACACUUUUCUUCCAGAAGUUCAAGCUGACUGGGCAGACAGCAGUCAAGGACCAUAAUAAAAGAAGAGACAGAGAACCCAAAAAAGUAUUUCAAAAUGCUUUUAAGCAUUCAGAGAAAUCACGUAAUAUGAUGAACAUAAUAACAGAAGUAAAACAUAAAAACAUGUAUCACUGUAUGUGUGUGUGCAAAGAUACAGUAUAUUUAUAAGCAUGUAACUAUAGGUAUGGUAAGUCUCUACAUACAGUUUCAUAUAAAUAUAUUUAUAUCACUUACCUCUUUGUAGUAAUUUUUCUGCCAUUAACUAUUUUAGUUGAGGUUGAUACUGAUUUGAAGUUUCCCAUUCCACUGCCACCAAAUGACGUAGAGGAGAAUGACGAAGUAAUGCCUCCAUGUCCCAGGGAGCCAAACGAAGAAAAACCUAUUGAAAAAGAAGGCAUUUGAAUAAAAUGUAAUUUUUCAUGACUGUGGGAUCCAAAUUUAUCAUCCAUUCAGACUACAUCCUACUUUCAGGAAGCCCUCUGCUGGUUUCAUCACACAGCAUCAGUGACUAGAUGGCAUUAACACCAGCCCUAGAAUAAAACCACAGCUCCAGCCCUGUACAUUUCUCUCAUAUGGACCCACAGUUCAAGUUCCAAAUGCACAGCAUUGUCCAAAAACCAUUUGUCAGCUCCUCCCCUGAAAGGCAUUCAACCUUUAUCCACACUCUGCCCUCAGGGGAAAGCCAGCAACUCUAAUGAAUCCGAUCAAAAGCUUUAGUGCAUAUGUCGGGAUGCCCCGAGCUGGCAGACAGAACAAGUCCUGCAUCAGUAACACCCCAACCGAUGCCCAGAUUCCCAGCACCCUAAGCACUACCACGGGAUUUAGGCACAUGUUUUUCAGGAUCUGUAAUAAAAGCCAUCACACCCCUGAAAGCAAACAGAACAAAAGAAUUCUAGUGCCAUGAUAAAACUGUAGCACCAAAAUAAGGAAGCAGGAAGUUCUACUUCUUAGAGAUCUGUUCACUAUAUAUGAACUUUCAAGUAGCCCAAAUACUUAAUUUACACUUACAUCUUACAGACAGCAGCUUAAUUAAAAAAAAAAAAAAAAAAAAAAAAGAGUCCUAGAAUUGCCUGAAUGGAGAAGCCAGCUUAUUAUAUUGCAAUCCUUUAUGAGCCAAAAUCACAUUCCUUCUUAAAUGUGAUGAUAUUUACCUGUGUCAAAUGGAGAGAAACCACUUCCAAAAGCAGGGAAUCCACCAAAGGCAGAGAAAAAUGAUCCACCACCACCUCUGUUUCUGCUUCCCCUUGGACCCCGCCUGCCACCGAAGAAGUCCUCAAAAGGGUCUU